GAUUCAUGGAGUGCAGGAAGACCUUGCCUUAUCUUAAAGGAAAGAUCGACAGGAAGCUUCAGGUUUCGAAGCCCUUGAUUCACUGGAACCACGGGUUCAAAUCCGAAAGGGUCAAAUGAGCCCUUUGUGCAUCGGAGACAGGACAGCUCCGUGUUCCAGUGACGACCUGGGAACGUGACAUGAGGAACCUGGACUGCCUGACGUGACUGCACGGCACCUGGAAGGAGAGAUGCAGAUCAUGUAAAACAUUGCCCCUGUGAUCCUGCAGAACAGCGACACAACAGCAGAGCUUUGCAAGGAGAAGAGAAAACUCUAAGUAAGUAAGUUCAAUGGAGAGAUCAAAGCCAAACCUUCUCCUUCAUGACUUCCUUGUUAGAAUUUUUUUUCUUUCUUCUACUUCUUUUCCAUAAUCAGAGACUUGAAUCCCUUUUAGUUUCUAUUCAGGCUCAAGAUCAAA